rnacentral:ribozyme from 1 species
ACAAGCAAAAAAAACUCAAAUUUUUUGUUUUUUUUUUUUUUUUUAAACAGAUGAAAAAUCCCGAGUUAUAUCAACCUUAUUGAUCUAUCUCUCACUCUCAAGAAAAAACAAACAUAAGCCCACGUUGAUAAAACUCCAUUCAAAAAUCUAAACAUCAACGCAUUCAAUCAAUUUAGAGUUGUCCAGAAGCCUCAAUCUU